GUGGGGAAUAUUGGACAAUGGGGGGAACCCUGAUCCAGCCAUGCCGCGUGUGUGAAGAAGGCCUUUUGGUUGUAAAGCACUUUAAGCGAGGAGGAGGCUACCGAGAUUAAUACUCUUGGAUAGUGGACGUUACUCGCAGAAUAAGCACCGGCUAACUCUGUGCCAGCAGCCGCGGUAAUACAGAGGGUGCAAGCGUUAAUCGGAUUUACUGGGCGUAAAGCGCGCGUAGGUGGCCAAUUAAGUCAAAUGUGAAAUCCCCGAGCUUAACUUGGGAAUUGCAUUCGAUACUGGUUGGCUAGAGUAUGGGAGAGGAUGGUAGAAUUCCAGGUGUAGCGGUGAAAUGCGUAGAGAUCUGGGGGAAUACCGAUGGCGAAGGCAGCCAUCUGGCCUAAUACUGACACUGAGGUGCGAAAGCAUGGGGAGCAAACAGGAUUAGAUACCCUAGUAGUCC
rnacentral:rRNA from 1 species